AUUGAACGCUGGCGGCAUGCUUUACACAUGCGAGUCGAACGGCAGCGCGGGCUUCGGCCUGGCGGCGAGCGGCGAACGGGUGAGUAAUACACCGGAACGUGCCCAGUAGUGGGGGAUAGCUCGGCGAAAGCCGGAUUAAUACCGCAUACGACCUGAGGGUGAAAGCGGGGGAUCUUCGGACCUCGCGCUAUUGGAGCGGCCGAUGGCAGAUUAGCUAGUUGGUGGGGUAAAGGCCUACCAAGGCGACGAUCUGUAGCUGGUCUGAGAGGACGACCAGCCACACUGGGACUCAGACACGGCCCAGACUCCUACGGGAGGCAGCAGUGGGGAAUUUUGGACAAUGGGCGAAAGCCUGAUCCAGCAAUGCCGCGUGUGUGAUGAAGGCCUUCGGGUUGUAAAGCACUUUUGGCGGGAACGAAAAGGACUGUGCCAAUACCACGGUUCGAUGACGGUACCCGCAGAAUAAGCACCGGCUAACUACGUG
rnacentral:rRNA from 1 species